GUAGUCAUAUGCUUGUCUCAAAGAUUAAGCCAUGCAAGUCUAAGUAUAAGCGAACUUAUACAGUGAAACUGCAGAUGGCUCAUUAAAACAGUUUGAAUUUAUUUGAUGGAUGUAAGGAAUUACUAGAUGGAUAACCGUAGUAAUUCUAGAGCUAAUACAUGCAAGAAUGCCCUUUCGGGGGUUGUAUUUAUUGGAUACAAGAACCAAACUCCUCGGAGUUUUGUUUGUUGAUUCACAAUAACUGAUCGAAUCGAGCUUUUGCUCGAUAGGUCAUUCAACAUUCUGCCCUAUCAGCUUUCGAUGGUUCUGUAGUGGAGAACCAUGGCAUUAACGGGUAACGGAGAAUCAGGGUUCGAUUCCGGAGAGGGAGCCUGAGAAACGGCUACCACAUCUAAGGCAGGCAGCAGGCGCGCAAAUUACCCAAUCCUGACUCAGGGAGGUAGUGACAAAAAAUAACAAUACCGGAUCUUUUUGGGUCUGGUAAUUGGAAUGAGAACAAGUUAAACUUAUUAUUGAGGAUCAAUUGGAGGGCAAGUCUGGUGCCAGCAGCCGCGGUAAUACCAGCUCCAAUAGCGUAUAUUAAAGUUGUUGCAGUUAAAAAGCUCGUAGUCGUAUUUGAGCGUGUGAUGUUUUGUGGUCUGCAUUCAAAAGAGUGUGGUGACCCAUUCAUCUUCGCAAUUAACCAUUGGGUCGGCGCUGGUCUUGAUUGACUUGGUGUCGUUUAAUCUCGAUGGAUCAUUUACUGUGAGAAAAGUAGAGUGUUCAAGGCAGGCGUGUUUUGCAAUUGAAUAUGUUAGCAUGGAAUAAUAAGAUAGGACUUUCAGAUCUAUUUUGUUGGUUUCUAGUUUGGAAGUAAUGAUUGAUAGGGAUAGUUGGGGGUGCUAGUAUUGAAUGGCCAGAGGUGAAAUUCAUGGAUUCAUUCAAGACUAACUAAUGCGAAAGCAUUCACCAAGGAUGUCCUCUUUGAUCAAGAACGAAAGUUGGGGGAUCGAAGACGAUCAGAUACCGUCGUAGUCUCAACCAUAAACUAUGCCGACUAGGGAUUGGACGUCGUUUUUCUUUUAUUAAGACUCGUUCAGCACCUCAUGAGAAAUCAAAGUGUUUGGGUUCCGGGGGGAGUAUGGUCGCAAGGCUGAAACUUAAAGGAAUUGACGGAAG
rnacentral:rRNA from 1 species